AGCAAAGAGGGGGACCUUCGGGCCUCUCGCGUCAGGAUUAGCCCAGGUGGGAUUAGCUUGUUGGUGGGGUAAUGGCUCACCAAGGCAACGAUCCCUAGCUGGUCUGAGAGGAUGAUCAGCCACACUGGAACUGAGACACGGUCCAGACUCCUACGGGAGGCAGCAGUGGGGAAUAUUGCACAAUGGGGGAAACCCUGAUGCAGCCAUGCCGCGUGUAUGAAGAAGGCCUUCGGGUUGUAAAGUACUUUCAGUUGUGAGGAAGGCAGUAAAGUUAAUAGCUUUGCUGUUUGACGUUAGCAACAGAAGAAGCACCGGCUAACUCCGUGCCAGCAGCCGCGGUAAUACGGAGGGUGCGAGCGUUAAUCGGAAUUACUGGGCGUAAAGCGCAUGCAGGUGGUCUGUUAAGCAAGAUGUGAAAGCCCGGGGCUCAACCUCGGAACAGCAUUUUGAUCUGGCAGACUAGAGUACUGUAGAGGGGGGUAGAAUUUCACGUGUAGCGCUGAAAUGCGUAGAGAUCUGAAGGAAUACCCGGUGGCGAAAGG
rnacentral:rRNA from 2 species